CCUACGGGAGGCAGCAGUGGGGAAUAUUGGGCAAUGGGCGCAAGCCUGACCCAGCAACGCCGCGUGAAGGAAGAAGGCUUUCGGGUUGUAAACUUCUUUUAAGGGGGAAGAGCAGAAGACGGUACCCCUUGACUAAGCCACGGCUAACUACGUGCCAGCAGCCGCGGUAAUACGUAGGUGGCAAGCGUUGUCCGGAUUUACUGGGUGUAAAGGGCGUGCAGCCGGAGAGACAAGUCAGAUGUGAAAUCCACGGGCUCAACCCGUGAACUGCAUUUGAAACUGUUUCCCUUGAGUGUCGGAGAGGUAAUCGGAAUUCCUUGUGUAGCGGUGAAAUGCGUAGAUAUAAGGAAGAACACCAGUGGCGAAGGCGGAUUACUGGACGAUAACUGACGGUGAGGCGCGAAAGCGUGGGGAGCAAACAGUAUUAGAUACCCGGGUAGUC
rnacentral:rRNA from 1 species